GUGGAAUUUCUCAGAUUUGUUAAAGACUGACUUAUGCGAAAGCAUUUGCCAAGGAUGUUUUCAUCGAUCAAGAACGAAAGUAGAU
rnacentral:rRNA from 1 species